rnacentral:lncRNA from 1 species
AAAUACUUGCCUACAUGUUAUUAACUUCUGCAUAAUCAUGCUACGCAUCAUAUUCCACUUGUGCGUAUUAAAUCAUACAGCAACACUUUUAUGAGUGUUUGUGCUCUUCCUAUUUACUAUCCUUAAAUUUGUAAAGGCUUAUUUGUGGUAAAUCCAGUCGAUCAGCGGUGCAGUCGACGAUUUCGUGCCUUCCCACUCAAGUUGUCCGCUUGAGGGUACUAGUCUAAGACACCAUAAAAACCUUACUCUGUUUAAAUUGCACAUGCAUCAUGGUCAAACCUAGUCAGGUCAGUUAUGUUGUCCACAUAAUGAUCCUUUAAGAUAAGCCUAACCCAAAGUCCAUCGUGUUUUCCAUAAUCCCAAC